rnacentral:lncRNA from 1 species
CAAGAAGAGGAUUUGUUGUGGCUCCCUUUCCUCUUUUUGCCCAGCCACCUUCUCAGGUCAGUGAAGAGCAGAAGCCCGAGCAGCCCCUGCCCAGCCGCCACCCGUUCGCUGGGAGCGUCUAGAUGAGAGGCAGCGCUCUUCAGCGGAGCUUCCUUUGCUAGGCCAGGAAGCGAGGUCUCCUUCUCCUUGGCGUGGCGCUACAGGAUGAAGCCCAGACCUGGGCCCAGGAAUCUCAAGCACCAACAUCUGGAGACGGCACCAUAUAGAGAUGUGUGUUAUGCUGAAGCUGAGGUGGAAGAGGAUUGGCUGGAAGGAGGAACAAAGGAAAUGCUUUGUGUUUUGCUAAGGUACUUGCCCCCUAAAACGGACAAGGAUGAAUAACCUGGAGAGGCACAUAAGACCGAAGCAUAAGUCAUCUGAGAAAAAGGAAAAAUGUUACCUAAAUAUUACAAGAUGAUAAAUAAAAGUAAUUAGUGUCCACUAAUUUGAUAAGGU